UAAACGUACAGACUAACACAGUUCGAGCUCUAAUAUAAGCAUUGAGAUGCGAUUGUCAUUUUUAUCAUUGGCUUUUGCCAUAAUCUCUAUUAUGGCAAUCAUUCACGCAUCUGAAGCAGAUGCCAUCUCCGAAGCUGACGCAUCUGUGGGCGGAUUUGGGGAAUAAUAAUUUCUUACUUUUAGUUUAAGGAAUUUACGAAACGCGUACUCGACAUGGCAAAUAAAAUAACUGCAUUUUCUGUGGAAUGAAAUUUAGAUGAUACAACGAAGAAAAAGCUGAGAAAAAGCUUGCAAUAAAAAUGUGACAUUACAAAAAACGAAUAAAUGUUAUUAUAUAUUU